UUCACUUUUCUUACUUUCUUAAUUAUUAUUCUGUUGUGUUUCUAUAUACGUUAGCGCUUAAUUCUUUUUUUUGCUUGUUUCAUUAUUCUGCAAGUUUAGGUGAAAUGCAAUGUGAAAUGUAUGUUUUUGUUUCAGUUAGGACAAAUGUAUCAGAAUUUGUUUUUGUUGCAUUAGGUAUUUCAUAUUAGUGCAUCUUUCUUUGCUAAGAGGUCUUGGAGAAACUGUGCUAAAUUGGCCGAAUCGAGAGCCGCCGAGGAACUGGCAGGGCGUGCAUGUUGCUUUGUUAUAUUGUUGUCAAUCAUACUUGGUUGUUGUAAAUUAAGAAGUAGAGGAGCUCUUUGGGUUGGCUAUGCAGUCAUUCAUUGAGGAAAGUGGAGGGUUAGUGAAGUGUAGGUUCUAAUUCUUUAGGGCCUUAAGAUAAAUGAAGUGAUCUGUCUGAGACCAAAAUAUGGUUAUACCAGUAGCAACAUUCAUGCAUUUUGCUCUCAGAGUUACAACUGAAUCUUCAAAUAACAUGCCUGAGUGCAACACUCUUGGCAUUUUAUAGUUCUGAUCAAGGAAAUAUUAAUUGUCUAGUCUAAACAUUUUAGAAUUUGACCAUACAAUUCCAUUAAACACCACAUAUAGUUUUAUAUGCAAGGCUUGUCAGAGCAUUAAUUCACAUAAAAGCUGAAAUUCAUGAUUUAUGUGAAAGUAUAUGAAUCGCGGACUAAGAACAAGUAAUAGCAGAUUUCAAACACACAAGAGCAUUCAUAUUUUAUAGUCUUGAUGAACAUUCUCUAUAAAGCUAGAAAGUAGAAACAUCACUUUCAUCCUCACUUUUAUACUACACCCUUAUUAACACAAUCCCAGAUGAGCAAUUGAGCACAUAAAUGAUAAACUUCAGCAAGCAGCUGGAAAUUGGAAUAAAACUAAACAAAUAGUAGGAAGAGAACCUGUGCAAAGGCGAAAGGUAAAGCUGAAUACAACCCUGCAGCUCUCUCUCUGUAGGAAACAUAUCUUACUCCUUAGCUGUCAAUUCUCUGAUGCUUAUGAUAAUUUUAGAUCGAUAAUUUUAGAUAAGUCUAGAUCGAUUCAAGCUGAGUUAGUUGAAUAGAACAGCACCCUUCUUUUGCGUUUAAUCAAUGGUAUAAUGCAUCCAUAUAUGAUUAACUAAUCUAUUUACUCCUUAGCUGUCAAUUCUCUGAUGCUUAUGAUCGUAGUCCAAAUGAAGUUCAUUUUUCUCUCAUCUAUUUUAAUAUAGGAUCCUCUUCUGAAGCCUGCACCAAAGAAGCAGAGUGAGUCUUCAUCAAAGUAGAUCUGUUUCGUUUGCUUGGGUUUGAUAGGAUGACUUUGGAAAGGUUGAAGAUUGAAAAUUUGUAAUAUUGAAGAAGAAAUGAAUUCUUUCUAAUGUAUUAGAUAGAUUUUUGUUAUUAUUUAUUUAAGUAAGGUUGUAAAUUAUUCACAGAUUUUGAUUUAUAUUGUAAUUACUUUUAUUACAUAUAAUAAUAAUUAUGAUUUUUCCUCUAAA